GUCUGUCUUCACAGCAAGACUUGAUGAGGGAUUUUGCAAGCGUUUCUUUGACAGAAAGCAAUUACAACGCAAGCAAAAUGGAGCAGCAAAAGAAGAUAGCAGCAAAAGGGAAUUUUUUCCCAUUUGUUGCUGUUGUGGUUUGACACUGGCCAAACACCAGGUACCCAUGAAAGCCACUCACUCACCCUCCCCUGCCACAGCUGGGCAGAGGAGAGAAAAAAAAUCAACAACGGCUUCAUGAGUUGAGCUGGGGACCAAGAACAACCAAUCCAAAUCUCAGGCCCAAGAGCAUAAACAACAGCGGAAUGAAGAGAGAAAAACAAGAAGAAUGGGACUUCAUAACCUAAAGCUAUAAUUGGACAAUUAACUCUAAUAUGCUAAUAAACCAGAAUUUAUAAAUGUGGGAGAUCUCAUGACCAGUUGUCCAUUUUGUGACCAUUUAGGGUUCAUCUUGGGUGUAGCCCUGGCUGGGCUCUUGUACUGCCCAAUGUGUGUCCAUUGAGGCAUUUUAAUAAAUACCUACUUUAUUCUUUAA